rnacentral:SRP_RNA from 1 species
CGCCGGGACCCACGCGGCAGACGCUCUCGAACCAGGUCAGGUCCGGAAGGAAGCAGCCUUAAGGGAUGUCGACUGGGUGCCGUGGACCAUCCUGGCGUGA